ACAUGCAGUCGAACGUGAAAGGAACUUCGGUUCCGAGUAAAGUGGCGCACGGGUGAGUAACACGUGGAUAAUCUACCCAUACGUUUGGAAUAACGGCUGGAAACGGUCGCUAAUACCGGAUACGCUCAUGGUGAAUAUUAUGGGGAAAGGGGGCCUCUGCAUAUGCUCCCGCGUAUGGAUGAGUCCGCGGCCCAUUAGCUUGUUGGCGGGGUAAAGGCCCACCAAGGCGACGAUGGGUAGCUGGUCUGAGAGGAUGACCAGCCACACUGGGACUGGAACACGGCCCAGACUCCUACGGGAGGCAGCAGUGGGGAAUAUUGCGCAAUGGGCGAAAGCCUGACGCAGCGACGCCGCGUGAGGGAUGAAGGCCUUCGGGUCGUAAACCUCUGUCAGAGGGGAAGAACCUGCGCCGUUCUAAUCAGCGGCGCACUGACGGUACCUUCAAAGGAAGCACCGGCUAACUCCGUGCCAGCAGCCGCGGUAAUACGGAGGGUGCGAGCGUUAAUCGGAAUCACUGGGCGUAAAGCGCGCGUAGGCUGUUUUGUAAGUCAGGGGUGAAAUCCCACCGCUCAACGGUGGAACUGCCUUUGAAACUGCGGGACUUGAGUACGGGAGAGGGUGGCGGAAUUCCAGGUGUAGGGGUGAAAUCCGUAGAUAUCUGGAGGAACACCGGUGGCGAAGGCGGCCACCUGGUCCGUAACUGACGCUGAGGCGCGAAAGCGUGGGUAGCAAACAGGAUUAGAUACCCUGGUAGUCCACGCUGUAAACGAUGGAUACUAGGUGCUGGGGAGUUAUUUUCGGUGCCGCAGCUAACGCGUUAAGUAUCCCGCCUGGGGAGUACGGUCGCAAGGCUGAAACUCAA
rnacentral:rRNA from 1 species